GUACUCUUCAAAAGUACCAAGGUCUUCAACAGUAAGAAAAGACUGAGGAACAGUCACAGAUUGGAAGAGAAUAAAAAUAUGAAAACUAAAUGCAUUGUGAAAUGUUGGAUUGAAUGUUGGAUUAGAAAAGAACCAGAAAUAGGAUUUCACCAAUGUUAAUUACUUGGUUUCAAUAAUAGUACUAUGGUUAUGCAAGAUGUUGUUAAAAAGAAGCAACAGGCCAGAAUGGUUCUGCUAAGCCCAUGUCACCAAGCCGAGAUUUAAUACCUAACCUAACUGCAGUUCAACCUUCCUCAGGAAUACAACCUUAACUGGUCAGUCUGGAAUUUUCUGGUCAGCACUAAUGAGGUAAUAUGCCUCAGAGACCCUUCCUAAAGGAAGGCAGCCCAGUGUUUUGCUGAUUCGAAUCCUGGGUGCGGACAUGGCACUGCUCAUCAAACCACGCUGAGGCAGCAUCCCACAUGCCACAACUAGAAGGAUCCACAACGAAGAAUAUACAACUGUGUACUGGAGGCUUUGAGGAGAAAAAGGAAAAAAAAAAAUUUGUUUCCUUUAGAGCAAAACAAAUCUUCAUUAAUUUUUCACCUCACAUGAAGUUUCUUUAGUUAUAAAAUCAACACAUUAUUGUUAAAAAUGCAACAACACAGGCAAGCAAAAAAAGAGUAUAAAAUUUCACUCAUAAUUCAGCGCACUUGGAGAAAAUUCCUAUAACAUUUCAUGUUCGCCAUAUCCUUCAAAAUUGUUUGACUAUACAUGUAUGACUGUUUUUUAAAAAAGAACCAAAAUGGAAUCAUGCUUCACAUUCUGUUUUUAACAGCUUUAUUGGAGUAUAGUUGAUAUAUAAUAAAAUGUACAUAUUUAAAGUAUAUAAUUUGCUAAGUUUUGAAAUAUAUAUACACACCUAGGAAACCAUCCUCACAAUCAAAAUAGUGAAGAUAUUAUCCAUCACUUCCAAAAGUUUCCUCAAAUCUUAACCAUAAUGAGUCUCUUUCAAACAACCCAGAUUUGCUUCUGUUCCUACAAAUUAGGUUGCAUUUCCUGGAGUUUUGUAUGAAUAGAAUCAUGUAAUUUGUACUCUUUUUGCUCUGGAUUCUGUCACUCAAUAUAAUAAUUUUACCUUCAUCCAUGUCUUGUGUGUAUCAACAGUUGGUUCCUAUUAUUGCCGAGUAGUAUUUCAUUGUUUGGAUGUACUGC
rnacentral:lncRNA from 1 species